rnacentral:lncRNA from 1 species
UAUAGGUUGCUCCUAUUGUGUUGACGUCCCAUUUACCUUUAAAAUAGCAUCCCCUAUCUUUUUCAGUUAUGCCAAUUAGCUCACAAAUAGUGCUGUCAAAUAUUCUAAUGGGUGUUCCUAGAAGGUAAGUGCUUAGGCUAUCGUUGUCCUCAUAUAGGUUGGCAUAGAAAAAUCUAACUAACCGCGGAUAGAUUGGUUCAUCUAUUUGUAGUAGAGGUAGAGCUUCUAGGUAUGCAAACCACUUAAUGGGUUCUAAGUCCUCUAGUUCAUCCAGAUCAAC